rnacentral:misc_RNA from 1 species
UGGCUUUGGCAUCGAUGAAGAACGCAGCAAAAUGCGAUAAGUAGUGUGAAUUGCAGAAUUCAGUGAAUCAUCGAAUCUUUGAACGCACAUUGCGCCCGCCAGCACUCUGGCGGGCAUGCCUGCCUGAGCGUCAUCUCAACCCUCCGGGCUCCUCGGGGCCCUGGCGCUGGGGAUCAGCCCCCCCGGGGGCUGGCCCUGAAAUCCAGCGGCGGCUCCCCAACGGCCCCCCUCUGCGCAGUAGCGAUACCUCGCAGCCUGGGCGGCGUGGGGUCGCGCCGUAAAACGCCCCAGAAUGGACAAGGUUGACCUCAGGUCAGGCAGGACUACCCGCUGA